UACGUAGGAGGCAAGCGUUGUCCGGAUUUACUGGGCGUAAAGAGCGCGCAGGCGGUCGUUCAAGUCGCGUGUGAAAGCCCCCGGCUCAACUGGGGAGGGUCACGCGAUACUGAUCGACUCGAAGGCAGGAGAGGGUAGUGGAAUUCCCGGUGUAGUGGUGAAAUGCGUAGAUAUCGGGAGGAACACCAGUGGCGAAGGCGGCUCUCUGGACCGGUUCUGACGCUCAGGCGCGAAAGCGUGGGGAGCGAUCCGG
rnacentral:rRNA from 1 species